ACUUAAAUUGAAGAGUUUGAUCAUGGCUCAGAUUGAACGCUGGCGGCAGGCCUAACACAUGCAAGUCGAGCGGUAGCACAGAGAGCUUGCUCUCGGGUGACGAGCGGCGGACGGGUGAGUAAUGUCUGGGAAACUGCCUGAUGGAGGGGGAUAACUACUGGAAACGGUAGCUAAUACCGCAUAAUGUCGCAAGACCAAAGUGGGGGACCUUCGGGCCUCAUGCCAUCAGAUGUGCCCAGAUGGGAUUAGCUAGUAGGUGGGGUAACGGCUCACCUAGGCGACGAUCCCUAGCUGGUCUGAGAGGAUGACCAGCCACACUGGAACUGAGACACGGUCCAGACUCCUACGGGAGGCAGCAGUGGGGAAUAUUGCACAAUGGGCGCAAGCCUGAUGCAGCCAUGCCGCGUGUGUGAAGAAGGCCUUCGGGUUGUAAAGCACUUUCAGCGGGGAGGAAGGCGAUAAGGUUAAUAACCUUGUCGAUUGACGUUACCCGCAGAAGAAGCACCGGCUAACUCCGUGCCAGCAGCCGCGGUAAUACGGAGGGUGCAAGCGUUAAUCGGAAUUACUGGGCGUAAAGCGCACGCAGGCGGUCUGUCAAGUCGGAUGUGAAAUCCCCGGGCUCAACCUGGGAACUGCAUUCGAAACUGGCAGGCUAGAGUCUUGUAGAGGGGGGUAGAAUUCCAGGUGUAGCGGUGAAAUGCGUAGAGAUCUGGAGGAAUACCGGUGGCGAAGGCGGCCCCCUGGACAAAGACUGACGCUCAGGUGCGAAAGCGUGGGGAGCAAACAGGAUUAGAUACCCUGGUAGUCCACGCCGUAAACGAUGUCGAUUUGGAGGUUGUGCCCUUGAGGCGUGGCUUCCGGAGCUAACGCGUUAAAUCGACCGCACGGGAGUACGGCCGCAAGGUUAAAACUCAAAUGAAUUGACGGGGGCCCGCACAAGCGGUGGAGCAUGUGGUUUAAUUCGAUGCAACGCGAAGAACCUUACCUGGUCUUGACAUCCACAGAACUUUCCAGAGAUGGAUUGGUGCCUUCGGGAACUGUGAGACAGGUGCUGCAUGGCUGUCGUCAGCUCGUGUUGUGAAAUGUUGGGUUAAGUCCCGCAACGAGCGCAACCCUUAUCCUUUGUUGCCAGCGGUUAGGCCGGGAACUCAAAGGAGACUGCCAGUGAUAAACUGGAGGAAGGUGGGGAUGACGUCAAGUCAUCAUGGCCCUUACGACCAGGGCUACACACGUGCUACAAUGGCAUAUACAAAGAGAAGCGACCUCGCGAGAGCAAGCGGACCUCAUAAAGUAUGUCGUAGUCCGGAUUGGAGUCUGCAACUCGACUCCAUGAAGUCGGAAUCGCUAGUAAUCGUAGAUCAGAAUGCUACGGUGAAUACGUUCCCGGGCCUUGUACACACCGCCCGUCACACCAUGGGAGUGGGUUGCAAAAGAAGUAGGUAGCUUAACCUUCGGGAGGGCGCUUACCACUUUGUGAUUCAUGACUGGGGUGAAGUCGUAACAAGGUAACCGUAGGGGAACCUGCGGUUGGAUCACCUCCUUACCUUAAAGAA
rnacentral:rRNA from 1 species